UUCCUCUUCCUCUUUUCCCAUUGUUCCCUUCUCACUUUCCUCAUCUUCAUUCGCAACGCAACUGCUGUGUCCACGGGAGACGCUGGAGACGAUGCACGGUUGGGUCCUGCUGCGAAGCUUCCGUCGUCCAUGCGCUCCGAUGCUGCCCGGAGGACGCGCUGUCGUGCUCGCCUGCGCAAGCUGCGGGUUUUGCAAGGCAGGGGCUCGCUGCUGCUAGCCCGCACGAGCUGCUCCAAGGGAAGCCCCGGCCUUUUUUUUCGUAAGGUGACCAGAAACAUGGUUGCUACAGCUUGAGGGAGUAUAGCUGGUGCUCCUCCGGAGUUACUCACGCGAUGCGGUGAGUGCUGUUUUGGUGGGGCUGGAAGUGAUCUUGUGGUUGCGAAUCUAGUGGCCUAAAUCAUACUGUAUUGACGCAUUUUCUAUUCCUCAAGGGGCCGUCGUCCUCUUGCUGAUUGGAUUGUGCUUCUUCCUUCCCUUCCUCUGGUUGUUGAUGCCUCAAGCAGCCACUGCCGAGUGUGUGCUCUGGUUAUCGGAUAUCCGUAGUUGUUCCUUCGUAAACUCCCUUUGAGUUUAUUCCGUUUCCUUCUUUCUGCUUGUUGAUGCCUCAAGCAGCCGGUGUAUAUGAAUUGAUCUGAUUGAUUACAAAGGAGCGAGGUGGUACCGCAGUUGUUUCUAUUCUUCCCCCCUUCGCAAAUCCCCACUUCUUCCCACUCCAGCAGCCCGACCUUCCUGCCUCCGACCGCGCCUGGAGAGGAGCUCUAGCUAUGCCACGAGCAGGCCAUCCCAGCAGCUGCCGCCGCCCCUCUGUCCUUCUCUCUCUCGGCUUUUCCCUUCUCCUUCUCUCUGUCACUAAUCUUUGUCUUCUAUAGGGAAGGAAGUCGCCAUGGAACAACCCAGCCGCCUUGGAGCUCGCCUCGCCUCCGGCCCACCACCUCUCCGUCGGCCUCGUGCUCCUUCGCCGCGAUCCGUUCGCCCUGCCGCUGGAUCCACGCCGGAGCAGCCGUAUCCGCCGCCCAGACCACCAACCAAGAGUCGCCUCUUGCCUGUCCUGCGGUCCGGAGGAAGACGACCGAGAGGAGCGCCCAUUCAUCCACCCCCUUGGAGCUCGUGCUGCCUUCGGGCCGCCACCUCUCCGUCGGCCUCGAUCCGUCUGCCCCGCCGCCCAGCCCACCAACCAAGCGCCGCCUCUUGCCUAUCCUGUGGUCGCAGGUCGAAUAAUAAAAACUGCAGGGUCCUUUAUGUAAAAGCGAAUCAUUUUUUCGGAUUAGCCACUUAAAAAUAGGACCGCGGGUCAAAUUCUCAGAAACAGAUGGACUUUUAUGCAAAAUCGUGCGCGACGCACGGGCAGAAACCCAAUUCUCUUUAUUAUUAGGUAAAGAUUACUCGCUAGUUGAUUAUUCCAUUGAUAUAAGUAAAUGUGAGACCUAAGUGAAUAUGGUUAGUUCAUGAUCUUUCUUGAAAACCUGAACAUCAGUUAGACAUAUUUACAUCAAUAAGAUCAAAUAGAGUUUGUAAAAGACUUUCUUUGUCACUUUCAGUUUGUCAACUGAAUUGAUUGAAGACAAGCAAUGGGUUAAGCUUGGGGGAGUUGAUACAUCUUCAUCGUAUCUACUUUUUCAAACUCUUUUGCCCUUAUUUUGGACUUUAAUUUGCAUGAUUUGAAUGGAACUAACCGGACUGAUGCUAUUUUCAGCAGAAUUGCCAUGGUGUUAUUUUUGUGCACAAAUAAAAGUUCUCGGAUUGACAUGAAAAUUCAUGAAGAAUAUUUUUGAAAUAUAUAAAAAAUAUUGGCGAAAGAUCAACCAGAGGGGACCCACCAGCUGUCCACAAGGGUGGGGCGCCCCCUAGGGCGUGCCCCCCUCCCUUGUCGGUCCCCUGGACCUCCUCCGACCCUAACUCCAACUCUAUAUAUUCACGUUCGCGGAGAAAAAAAUCAGAGAUAAGGAUUCAUCGCGUUUCACUAUAUGGAGCCGCCACCGCCUCCUAUUCUUCCUCGGGAGGGCAGAUCUGGAGUCCAUUUUGGGCUCUCGAGAGGGGAAAUCGACGUCGUCGUCAUCAUCAACCAUCCUCCAUCAUCAAUUUCAUGAUGCUCACCGCCGUGCGUGAGUAAUUCCAUCAUAGGCUUGCUGGACGGUGAUGGGUUGGAUGAGAUUUAUCAUGUAAGAGUUAGUUUUGUUAGGGUUUGAUCCCUAGUAUCCACUAUGUUCUAAGAUUGAUAUUGCU
rnacentral:rRNA from 1 species